rnacentral:rRNA from 1 species
AGAGUUUGAUCCUGGCUCAGGACGAACGCUGGCGGCGUGCUUAACACAUGCAAGUCAAGGAGAACUUCCACUUCGGUGGAUUAGUAAACUGGCGAACGGGUGAGUAACACGUAGGUAACCUACCCUUGGGUUGGGGAUAACCUUGCUAAAGCGGGGAUAAUACCGAAUCAUGUAUUUUUAUCGCAUGAUAUAAAUAUGAAAGUUGUCUUGAUUUAUCAGGAUGACGCCUAAGGAUGGACCUGCGCCCCAUUAGUUAGUUGGUAAGGUAGCGGCUUACCAAGGCAGCGAUGGGUAGCCGGCCUGAGAGGGUGUACGGCCACACUGGGACUGAGAUACGGCCCAGACUCCUACGGGAGGCAGCAGUGAGGAAUAUUGCGCAAUGGCCGCAAGGCUGACGCAGCAACGCCGUGUGGGUGAUGAAUCUCUAAGGAGCGUAAAGCCCUGUUAGGAGGGAAGAAUGGCUCUGAUGCGAAUAACAUCGGAGUUUGACGGUACCUCCAAAGAAAGCCCCGGCUAACUCCGUGCCAGCAGCCGCGGUAAUACGGGGGGGGCAAGCGUUGUCCGGAAUUAUUGGGCGUAAAGGGCGCGUAGGCGGAAUAGUAAGUCAGAGGUGAAAACCAUAGGCUCAACUUGUGGCUUGCCUUUGAAACUGCUAUUCUUGAGUGCGGAAGAGGGGAGUGGAAUUCCUGGUGUAGCGGUGAAAUGCGUAGAUAUCAGGAAGAACACCGGUAGCGAAGGCGGCUUCCUGGUCCGUAACUGACGCUGAGGCGCGAAAGCGUGGGGAGCAAACNGGAUUAGAUACCCUGGUAGUCCACGCUGUAAACGAUGGGCACUAGGUGUUGGUUCGCCAUAGCGAAUCAUNGNCCGAANCUAACGCAUUAAGUGCCCCGCCUGGGGAGUACGAUCGCAAGGUUGAAANUCAAAGGANUGACGGGGGGCCCGCNACAANC